AGAUUGAACGCUGGCGGCAUGCCUUACACAUGCAAGUCGAACGGCAGCACGGGAGCAAUCCUGGUGGCGAGUGGCGAACGGGUGAGUAAUACAUCGGAACGUGCCCAAUCGUGGGGAUAACGCAGCGAAAGCUGUGCUAAUACCGCAUAAGAUCUACGGAUGAAAGCGAGGGAUCGCAAGACCUUGCGCGAAUGGAGCGGCCGAUGGCAGUAGUUAGGUAGUUGGUGAGGUAAGGCUCGAACCAAGCCUUCGAUUCUGUAGCUGGUCUGAGAGGACCGACCAGCCACGACGUAGGGACUGGA
rnacentral:rRNA from 1 species